rnacentral:lncRNA from 1 species
AAAGGGUUCUACAAGGAAGGUUUAUGAAAACCUUGAGAAUAAAAAUGCAGAAUAAUCAUAUCCUUAUAGAUUGUAUCAAGACGACAGAAAUUGUAUGAUCAGACCCCUGACCAUCGCCUCAGCUCAUCAUUGCGUCAUCUGGAUGGCUUCCCUAAGCUCCCACCUGGGCCCAGAAAGGAAACGGCUUAUGACCUGCAGUCUUUGACUAUCACCAUCUCCAUUCUAUUUAUGGCCCUGCUGCACCUCUGUGCAAAUUAGGAGAAGGUGACCCUCUUGUGGGGAUGGAGGAGAAGGACAAACCAGGCCGUGAUCUGGCCAGUAAAGUGGGACUGGGCUGGCUCCUGGUGGGCUUUGGUAAGGUGUAACCUGCACCAUGGUCAUUACUGCCCAAAAUGAGAGCCAUCAGCUUGCUAAGAAUCGCUGAGCCCGGAGCGCCACUCUUGGGUGAAGAUGCUUCUUUCAGAUCCCCGCCUACCCACCUGCAAGGCUUGCAGGAAGUCUUGAGAAGAACCAAGAAGGAGGCUGAUGCUCCUAGUUGUUCAUGAGCAGCCAAUGUGGUAGGCUGAUGCCUAACAGUUUCCACCUUCUUCUGCAUUUGUGGCUGAGGAUCUACCCAUGAGCCCCACAGAGCAAGAGCUGCCAGAUUAAUGCUCCUGCCUAUGACAUGGAAAUUGUCAAAAAUAGACCUGAAUCCUUGCCAGGCCUCCCCAUGAUUUCUGUGUAGUAUGGCCUUAAAUAUAUUAGAUAAGUCAGAAGCCUAAAAUAGCUCAGCUCUUAGAAUAACAGAAUUUGGUCCCCUCCCACUUCCGUAAGUUGAAUUCUUAAUUGCUAAAUUUCAGGCUUUUUUGUUGUUGUUUAUGUAAGAAUUUCAAGGCCACAACUCCAUAUUUGAAGUAAAGUGCUCAUAAAAUUAAUUGCAAGACUUCUGAAGAGAGAUUUGCUAGGAAAAAUAAAAAGAUAUAUAAAUUUCAGUGAUGCUGAAGGUUUUGAGAAGCCAUCUGCAGCUCACAACUAGAUGAGUGACACAAUCAGAUGUGCGUAUGCAAAAAAAAGCCUGGAGACAUUGAACUAAGAUCAAAUUUAAUGUAUUAAAUAUGGUAGAAAGAAGAGAGAAUGAAAAAUAAUGUUAACAAUCUAGGUGAGGAAUUGCUGAGGAGACAAAUUAAGUAAAUCCUGUGGAAGGAAAGAAGAAAGGAGGAAAGAGGAUUGGAUGGAAGAAUCUCCACUUCUCAUAGGUGUAGUCCUUCCUUAGCCUGCUUUUUAAUGAGUGCUGCUAAAGCCCUUAGCCUGCCUGUUUACCCUUGGAGUGGAGCAAUGAACUGAAGAUAUUUGAGUGAGUUCAAGAGAGACUCAGAAGAGAAGAAUUGGAGGCAGCAAACAUAGACAGCACUUUUAAUGCUUUUCUCAUAUGCUGUAAGACAUGAAAGCAAUCUAUUGGGAUGAAAGCUGAAAGGAGAAGCGGGACAAGAGAAGAAGAGAAGCAAGAAACCAAAUACUGGGGGAUAUAUUGCACAAGUAUAACUUCAAGAAACCCAAGCCAGUGCAAACAAUUCAAAAAAUAAUGGAACCCGAAGACAGCGAACCUUCCAGGGAUGCUAUGGACAUUUAUCCCCUCUGCUAACAUUUAUGUUUCUGUAGUUGAGGUUCAGUUAUAUCACAGUUUAGACAACUCCCUAGAAACAAUGAUCCCUGUUAAAGCUGCUCCAGGAGCACAGGAAUUCCUUUGAUGAGCUCUAAGAGAUUGGUAACAAUACCUCCUGAAGGGCCGUGUUGCUAGGUAACAGCUUGUUUCCUUGGUCACAGUGAAUCCGUGGAAGACCCCCAAAAGAGGCUGCAGAUUCUUAGUGGACAGCUCUCAUAUCCCCUCCAGGGAAAAUGAUGAAAAAUGUCUUCAGAAAAAUAGCUUUAUGAAGGCAAGAGGACUUUUUGCACCUGCAAGACAUGUCUGAAAGCUCCUCAGGUCAAAACACAAGUAGUCAAGAGAUUUGUCCAUCUAAUUCAUCAUACUACUCUGAUCCAAGUGAGACCCACACUGGGUCAGCUCCAUCAAGGAGAAGAACAUUCCACCCACGUUUGGAUUCUGGAAUAUCAUCCUUGCUUCCAUCAGAUUCUUGUAAGUACCUCACUUGGCACAAGGUAGACAUGACGUUCAAGGAAGUCAACUGCGUUGCCCAAGAGUAAGAGAAGGAAUCUCUGAAGAAGAGCAACUUUUCAGACAGGUAGAGUGUGCCUUGCUCCCAAGGAAAAGAGUUCUUGAAAAAAACAAAUGGGAAACAUGGCUACAAGAAAACUGGGAAGACUGCAAGAAUUUGAACAUUUCAUUUCAGGGUUUGGGGGAUCCUUACCAAGUUGAAAAUUUUAACAGAAUUCUUAGAAGACUAAUUCGAGUUGAAACCCUCUGGUUAGUGGAUAAUUCACUGGUGGACUUAAGUGCCAUAAGAUUGCCAAGGCAAAAACAUGCUAACUGACAAGAAAAUCAUGGGUUUUAUACAAGGAUAACAAGUGCUGGGUUGCUUAGCUAUGAGGAAGGCUAGGCUCACUGCAUACCAGAAGAUGUACAGCGUUGGAGAAUUCAGGGAUUUUUAUCAACAAUCAAACUAUAUUUGUGGAAAUUUUGUGCAUAAGUGCCAAAGAUGGCUGACAUCGGACCACAUUCUAUUUAACUCAACUGAAUGACACCAAGCUCUCAUCCUAAAACUUAUAGUUACAUCCACCCUUCUGAAAUAUUUAAUUAUUCUCCAAUACACUGGAGGUAAUAGGUAUAAAAAGAAUGAGCAUGUGCAACUUAGUAUCUCAUAUCUAAUUUUGUGUCCCAAGUUCAUUCUUCCCCUGAAUGUCCCAUGUCUACCAGGUGCAGGAUUAUCUGGAUGGGUCAGUUCAAAACAAUUUCAGGGAAUAAAUUGUGUAGGGGACUCAAUUUUCUGAGACAGAAACAUAAUGUGAAUAACUCCUUUGUUAGAAAAUAAUUUCAGUGACAGAAAGCCUUUCAGUUCAUAAAGAAAACUUACAUAUCAACAAGCCUAGCUCCUCACUAGUCCCAGUGAAUGCUUACAUCAAUCAGCUCUACAAUAUCCAGUAAAGGACUUUCCAAUUCGCCUUUGAAUAAACUGAGGUAUUGGAAACAUCUAAGAAAAUGGUUUUUAAUUCUUCCUAAUCUUCAGGGAGUUCUUCCUUAUAUUGAGCUGAUAUCUGCCCUCUGUAACUUUCAACUAAUUAUUCAAAUCUCUCAAGUGAUUAUAAUUAAUUCCAUCUUAUAAGGAAUUUUUCUCAGCUUCCAGCCUCUUGAAAAUACUCUGAUAUUUUCUCUAAUAUUCAAGUGGAAAUGUAAAUGGGUAACGUAAGAGUCUGUGGGGUUAGGAGGGUGGAGGAAAGGUAAGGGAAAGCUAAUGAGAAAUAACCAAAGCAAGAAAAAGAAUUUUAUUUUCUUCAAGUUCUUUGUACAUCCAAAGUGGAAGAUUCCUAAAAUAAAUUCCCCAUACCACAUUUUAAAAAUUAGGUUAGCAAGCUUACUUUUUAAUUUAUUUAGAAGCCAACUACUUCCAUUUAUUAUUUCUUUCCAGAAUAGAACAAUUAUCACUAAUUGUUUGUCAUUAUAAUGCCAAACUAUGUUAAUAGAUGCCUAUUUUUUUAAAGGCUAAUUGCAAUCAUGAAACCAAAUAUCUAAUUAGUUUUAGAGCUUUGGACCACAUGCAUCAAUAUUUGAAUCAUUCAGGUGUAUAUUUGCUUUCUGCUUUUUUGUCUCUUCAAAAGAAGUAUUAUAUGCAUUCUGUUUAUAAUUUCUAAAUGGUCAUUUCAAAACUGAUUAUACGAGUUUAUACAAAUCAUACUGAAAUUUGUUGCUUAAAAAAUCUUCAUUUUUCUCUAAGCUCUCAGUGUCCUUGAGCUAUAUAUAUUUUAUGGCAAUUUUUACUUAAUAGUUUGUAUGCUAGUUAUUUUUGACAAUGACUACUAAAAUGCAAGUUUCUUCAAGGGCAGAUUCACCUUAGUUCUUCUUUAUACCCCUCAAAAACCUCAGGGUUAUUCUCAAUAAGUAUUGAGUAGGUGAGUGAACUUUGGAUGUAUACUCCUUGAAAUUAUAUUUCUGGAGCUGGAAAACUUUAAAAAAAUGUAUGUCAUGAGUCUAAAGAAAUAAACAUUAUAUGGCUGAAAAAAUACUUUGUGAAAACCAAAAAUCUCAUGGAAUCAUGAACUUAUCUAUGGGACAGAUGUUAGCCCUGAGGUUGUUCUGGGCUUCUUUUCUACCCACUUCCCAUGACCAAAUCAGUUCACUAGUCAGCAGUUCUAUCCUUCCUCUCCUUCUCCUUCCAUCUAAGGAGCUAGAGCUGAACUGCUUGGCCACUGAUUGCUGACAUGCUGAGUUUUCUACAGCUGGAGUUUUCAAGAGGGCUUUGAUUUUGCUUUCCCCAGUUUUCCUUCUUCCACACUUGAAAAGUGGUAAGGGUACCAGCUUUCUGUCUAUCUCUGACUCUCUCUCUCUCUUUCACACACACACACACACACACACACACACACACACACACUUUUUUUUUUCUUCCACCCUCCUGCACAGCAGGAGACCUUGCCUUGAUCUUUGAAGGUCUACAGCAAGUGGUCUAGGCUAACUCAGUGCUGGGCAAAUGGAGCAAAAACUCUUUUCUGCUUCCUUGCCUCCAUGUCUUUCAGAGCUAGCAGAUACAGCUUUUGUUCUAUAGGAGUGAUUCUUUCUAAAUGUCAGCUCAACAGGAUGAUGGUCACUCUUGUAUAUCACUUAGGCAUGAGUUCUGUUGAAUCCCA